AGGUCCACAAAAAGCUUUUUUCGACCUGUUCUCAUGAGAUCACUGGUCGAACAAAAAAGAAAACUUUUUCUCUCUCGACCUAGCCGUCUAGAAAAUUUUUUGUUUGGCCGGCGGUUGGUGGCUUCCACAGCACCGUCGUCGGCCCUGCUCCCUUGUAUUUAAGUAGUUUCUCUUCUUAGUAGUUUCUAGUUUGCCUUUCUAGCUUUCUCAAACCUUAACUUUGUCGUCUCCUCCUUUUGGCGGUUUGGUGUUGUUCUUAGGUGGAUCUAUUCCGAAGAGAGGUUUGCUUAUCCUUUGAUUCAUGGUUAAGAAACUCCAAAGUAAGUAGAGAGACUCCUGCGAAGAAGGUGGAGGAUGUAAUGCCCAUUGCAACUGGACUUGAGAAGGAGGAGCUUGACGCUGAAAUAAAGGUGGAGUUUUGCUAUUAGACUAAGUUACUGCAAAAGAACAAAACAAAAAUCUGUCAAGUGAAUGUUUUUUUUGUACUGCUCCUAAGUCUGAUGAUGUCUACCUCAAGCCUCUCCUAAGCCUCUCAUUAAGGAGACCAAAAGCAGUGCUCCUAAUCUUUUUAUGCUUUUGUUUCUCUGUUUGUUCCAUUGGUUUAUUGAGAUUUGCUCCUUUUUUUAUUUUACUGAGGUUUCAGGUAAGCUUAUGCCACUCUAGAUAAUAGUUCUCCUUUUGUUUUUU